rnacentral:misc_RNA from 1 species
UCCCCGUUGCCGGGGCAGUCUAGCCUGAAAAAUACAACAGACUAUAAGGGUUGCGCUCGUUGAUGGACUUAACCAAACAUCUCACGACACGAGCUGACGACGGCCAUGCAACACCUGUCACUUGGUUCCCGAAGGCACACUCUGCUUUCGCAGUGCUUCCAAGGAUGUCAAACCUGGGUAAGGUUCUUCGCUUAUCGUCGAAUUAAACAACACGCUCCACCGCUUGUGCGGGUCCCCGUCAAUUCCUUUAUGUUUUAAGCUUGCGCUCGUACUCCACAGGCGGGAUGCUUAACGCGUUAGCUUCGCUACUACCAGGGUCGAUACUGAUAACAGCUAGCAUCCAUAGUUUACGGCGUGGACUAC